rnacentral:rRNA from 1 species
GACGAACGCUGGCGGCGUGCCUAACACAUGCAAGUCGAACGGGACCAGGGGCAACUCUGGUUCAGUGGCGGACGGGUGCGUAACACGUGAGGAACAUGACCUUGCGGGGAGUAGCGGCCCAACGGCCGGGUAAUACCGCGUACGACCACAUGGGACGAUCCCUGAGUGGUGAAAGCAGCAAUGCGCCGAUGGAGUGCCUCGCGGCCUAUCAGCUAGUUGGGUAGGUAAACGGCGUCACCAAGGCGACGACGGGGUAGCUGGUCUGAGAGGAUGGCCAGCCACAUUGGGACUGAGACACGGCCCAGACUCCUACGGAGGCAGCAGUGGGGAAUAUUGCG